GACGGAGGGUGCUAGCGUUGUUCGGAAUGACUGGGCGUAAAGGGCGCGUAGGCGGCCUGGUAAGUCGGGUGUGAAAGCCCGGGGCUCAACCCCGGAACGGCACCCGAUACUGCGGGGCUUGAGGACUGGAGAGGAGACUGGAAUUUACGGUGUAGCGGUGAAAUGCGUAGAUAUCGUAAGGAAGACCAGUGGCGAAGGCGGGUCUCUGGACAGUUCCUGACGCUGAGGCACGAAGGUCAGGGGAGCAAACGGG
rnacentral:rRNA from 1 species